AGUGAACGCUGGCGGUAGGCCUAACACAUGCAAGUCGAACGGCAGCACAGUAAGAGCUUGCUCUUACGGGUGGCGAGUGGCGGACGGGUGAGGAAUACAUCGGAAUCUACUUUUUCGUGGGGGAUAACGUAGGGAAACUUACGCUAAUACCGCAUACGACCUACGGGUGAAAGCAGGGGAUCUUCGGACCUUGCGCGAUUGAAUGAGCCGAUGUCGGAUUAGCUAGUUGGCGGGGUAAAGGCCCACCAAGGCGACGAUCCGUAGCUGGUCUGAGAGGAUGAUCAGCCACACUGGAAACGAGACAAGGUCCAGACUCCUACGGGAGGCAACAGUGGGGAAUAUUUGACAAUGGGCGGAAGCCUGAUCCAGGCAUACCGGGUGGGUGAACAAGGCCUUCGGGUUGUAAAGCCCUUUUGUUGGGAAAGAAAAGCAGCAGGUUAAUACCCCGCUGUUCUGACGGUACCCAAAGAAUAAGCACCGGCUAACUUCGUG
rnacentral:rRNA from 1 species